AGGAUAACAAACAGUGAAAGAGACAUGAGAAAAGAGAGAUGUAACCCCUAAGGAAUGAGGAAGAGUUCAUGGUAUAGUUUAACCAAUAGAUUGCUUGGCUUACAGAAUAUUCAUAAGCUUAUUAUUUGCUGUAUAAGUGUUUGAUGUUUUCUUCAAUAAACUGGACCUUUGAUGAACCACCUGGUGUCCUGGUCCCCUUCCCUCGACAAAUGGUGACCUUGAACGUUGACCCCUCAUUUCGCACUUAAAGAAAAAGGGAGAGAACAUGCCACAGCUGAGGAAGUUGGAGCUGGGUCCUGUUUGCAGCCUGGACAGUGCCGGAAUUUUGAAGCACCCUUGGGGUUCACAUUGGUGAUUCAAGCCAUUUACGUGCUGCCGGAGCCUGGAAAGCUGCAAGAGCGCUCACGAAUAGGUAUGAAUAGGCAACAGCAUAUAAUUUAUCCGCCACGUAUUUAGAAAGAAUGGCGAAAAUUUGAGGAUAUACUGCGGGAAGCAGUGUUAGAAGAUGUAAGACAGCAAAGAAACUGAGCAAGCCAUGGCAAGUGUUGCACAAUACACUGCUUCAGCAUUCCUCUGAAUGCAAGGCA